ACUACAUAUACGUCGAAGAUUCCACAUAAAACAGAUAACCAAAACAGCAAGAUAAAUGAUUAUCGCGAUAAGAUUGGCGAGUUUUACGGUUUUGUUUUACAAACUAAUAAGAUUUCUUUUCACAAAUGCACAAUCCUGGAAAUUCUUCUUCAGUACAAACAAAAAAAAAUCAUCACCAAGAAAUCUCAACAGAAAUCUGAAAGUCUUCAAGUUCAAUUACGCUGCUUUGUUUUUGUCAUCGAUUGGCUACAACUUCGUAACGGAUGAUUAUUUGUGGCUUCUUACAUUUCCUGCGAUGGGAAUUUUUUCCCUUUAUGACAAGCGACAAGGGAUUUCUCAGUUUUUCAGCUUACUUCACGCUACAUACUUUGUAUUAGUAAUAAUUGUAUUACGUGUUGCAGAUUUACAACAACUGACGCUGGCAGUAUUCUUGUCGGUCAUUCUAAUUCUUUUGCACGCUCUUCAGGGCAAGCGAUUCUUGAAUCACCCUCGACAAACGAGAUACAAUCGUAGGAAUUCGAGAAAUUUAUGUUAUAUUAUGCCAAGAGGUUAUAGAUACAGAGACGAUGAAUCCAAGAGUUGUGAGAUUUUGAUUCUUUUGAUGAUUUUUAUCCUUUUUUGUCAUAUUUUUAAAACGAAUCAUGAGCUGCCAAAACAUGAUUUUUUCAAUUCAACUUUAAUCAAUUCGACAUCAUAUUAUUGUAACAGUUCAGUGAUGUGCUGUAAAAACUCAUAUGAGUAUACAACAGUCUUUUAAAUGUCAAUUCGAUGUCCAUCAAUUGUAAUUGUUGUAAAAACUCGGACACAUAUAAGCAGUCCAACGAAUCUUUAAAAAAAAAAUGGAUCAUUUCUGAUAAUUAUUUUACAUGUUUUGAAAAGAAAAUAGUUAAUAAAAUGUCUAAAACUGCAGAUUGUAUGGAGAAUAAUGCAAGAAUUCUGUCAUGUAAGAAAAACUUCUAAGUAUACUUAUUAUUUUCUAGUGCCAUUUUUUUUGAAAUUGUAUUGUCUAUUGUUUAUUUAUGCGUGAAAAUUGUAUGUACGAGUAUAUGAACUUUUGUGUUGCGGUUUUUAAAUAAAAUGUAACCUCCUAAAUCAA